UACAGAGGGGGCAAGCGUUAUUCGGAAUUAUUGGGCGUAAAGGGCGCGUAGGCGGCUUGGCAAGUGGAUGGUGAAAUCCCUCGGCUUAACCGAGGAACUGCCGUCCAAACUGCUUCGCUUGAGACCGGGAGAGGUGAGUGGAAUUCCCAGUGUAGCGGUGAAAUGCGUAGAUAUUGGGAGGAAUACCGGUGGCGAAGGCGGCAUCCUGGACCAACACUGACACUGAGGAGCGAAAGCCAGGGGAGCAAACGGG
rnacentral:rRNA from 1 species